AGUAUGUCUGCUUUCUAAAGGACGUGUUUUCCGACAGUGCCAAGAUAUAAUUAAUUUCUGAGCGAGACUCUGUGCUGGGUUUUGAUUGCGCCGCUCGCCGCACCUUGAGGAGGUACUUAAGUGUAGAGACGCUCUGGGUUCCUGGGCGGAUGCCACAACAGCACCGGAGCCCAUCUGCUCUUCGUUUCUGGCAACUGCAUAUGUUUUCCUCGCUUCUUAGCCUUACUGAGCGUUUGUUUACGAAUUCAUUCCCUAGAAGCAUUUUGCAGGUUUGUGAAGGCGGAGAAAGGAUUGAAUGCGGUACUCGAGCUUUAAAGGAGUCAAGGACGGUUUGAGCUCCAAUUGAGAACGUUUUCAUUUCCAAACAACAUCAAGCCGUCGUCUACCUCGGCCGCAGGUCGGUGCGCUUACUGAAGCUCUGCGAUCGAUGGCAGCUGCCGAACGCUGUCGAGUCAGUGGAUUAACACGGCGCUCUCAUUAAGCCGUGAAAUGAAGUGACGGGAUCGAGUCGAGCGCGGCGGGAUCGGAUUGUGCUGAUGCAGGAGACGUUUCCUCGAGGAGACGUCAAAAGUCAUUCGGAGGCCCAGAACAGACGUGAUUCCCCGGACGGCCCAUAAAAUCGACCCCGGGAUCGAACCAAUAAACUGGCUGUCAAUUAUCUGCUGUGUUCACAACCUUAUAAUAAACGGAUCGGGGUGAAAAUGACUCAUGUAAGAGAAAUAAGGAAUAAAUAAAUCAAUCAAGACGAGGAAAUUUCUUUUUGAACAAUUUUGCUUUGCUGAAAUACGGUAAAUUUUUACCCGUAUCUCAAUCACAUGUAUCCACGGCAACAUCUGAUGGGUUUUCCCAUAUAAUGAAAUUUCAUUAUUACAUAAAAAUAUAUAUACAAAUAUUUGAUACAUACACCACAUGGCCAACUGCCAUAUUGAGACGCCUGACUUUCAACCCAUAUGUGGUUCUUUACCAAAAUGUGACCACAAAGUCGGAAGCACACAAUUGAUAGGACGUCUUUGGAUGCAGCAUGAAAAUUUUUUUUGUAAAAAAAAUACAAUUUCCAAAUUGUUUUUAUAAAUAUUCUAUAUUAUAUAUGUAU